CCAGAGAUGGCUUGGUGCUCGAAAGAGAACCGUAACACAGGUGCUGCAUGGCUGUCGUCAGCUCGUGUCGUGAGAUGUUGGGUUAAGUCCCGCAACGAGCGCAACCCUUAUCAUUAGUUGCUACAUUUAGUUGGGCACUCUAAUGAGACUGCCGGUGACAAACCGGAGGAAGGUGGGGAUGACGUCAAGUCCUCAUGGCCCUUAUAGGUAGGGCUACACACGUCAUACAAUGGCUGGUACAAAGGGUUGCCAACCCGCGAGGGGGAGCUAAUCCCAUAAAGCCAGUCGUAGUCCGGAUCGUAGUCUGCAACUCGACUACGUGAAGUCGGAAUCGCUAGUAAUCGUGGAUCAGAAUGUCACGGUGAAUACGUUCCCGGGUCUUGUACACACCGCCCGUCACACCAUGGGAGCGGGUUCUGCCAGAAGUAGUUAGCCUAACCGCAAGGAGGGCGAUUACCACGGCAGGGUUCGUGACUGGGGUGAAGUCGUAACAAGG
rnacentral:rRNA from 1 species